GACCGAUGAUGCGAGACGUGUUGUGGGAUUUAGAAUACGCAUUGCAGCUUCAGUUAAUUCCGAUGAACAAUGGAACAUUCGAAGACAGUACGACUAAUGUUUCCUUAGAAUUCUCAAUGACGCCUGUCCUCCAUCGGUUACCUUCAAAUAGCUUCCCGGCCGUUGAGGAAGAAGGUGCGGCCUUACUAUCCGUUGAUGCUUCCGAUGUAUUCUCAUUAUUGAGUGUUGGUGAGGCUAGAUAGUCUCCACUGGUUUAAAUGUUGAUAAGCGCUACAUUUUGUAAGUACUAUUCUUUUGGUAAAAUGACCUCUCCGGUCCCUCUCAAUUCCAAUAUCAAGUAAAUUAGUCCCUCUAAAAAAAAUUGAACAAUUUCAUUUUUGUGAAAUUUGAAAUUGAACAACUAAGCGUCAUUAAUCACAUCAUUAAUUUUUUCAUCAAAUCUACCUAUAUUAAUUUAUAAUUUUAUUAUUUUAGAACGCACUAAACAAAUAUUUUUUAUCCAAAAGAAAACCAAACAUUUUUAAUUUCUAGGACCAAAACUUCUGCCUAACCUUAUAUUCGUCCCUGCCAUUUUUCUGAAUUAUUUUACCAUCCCACCUUUUUCUUUUGGUUUGUUGUCAAUGAAGAAUACAUGCGAUGGAGACAUUUGGGAUUUGAGAAAAAUUGAAGAAAAAAAAAGGUAAAAGCUGCUCAACUGAAGCAACUUCAAGAAGUGGAGAUGUUUGUUGACCUUUAUAUACAAAAUAGUUAAAAACGAGAUUAAAUUUUCUGACAAUUUACUUUAAUUAAUAUAAAUGUGACUUAUAAUAAUUUAGAACCUGAACUUGACACUUUUUCUUAAUUUGAUAUUUAAAUUUAAUUUUUUUUAAGUUGGUACUUAAUCUUUUUCGGGGUCUAAUUUGGUACAUGAAAUUGACUCUUUUUCCUAAUUUGUUAUCUAAUUUUUUUUGUUUAAUUUGAUACUUAAAUUUGUCAAACAUUCUACAAAUUAUUUCAAUAUACUAACAAUGUUUUAUGAGGUAAAAAAAAUAUCAAAUUUAAGUACCAAAUGUUAUAUUAAGCCUAAUUAUAUGUAUAAAUAAUUUUUUGUUCUUUUGUUCUAUCAAUACUUUUUUUCUUAUGCGAUUUUCAUCUAAAGCAUAAAUAAUUAAUAAUAAUAAAAUGGAAAGUGAAAGUGUAGAACAAUGAUGCCAAUUACUGCUAAAUUCUAUCACGUAAGCUGUCCUUUUUUUAGUAAAUAAUUAAAAUAAUUAGCAAAGCUGCUAAAAAAAAAAACUUGACUUAAGGGGCAUGGUGGAUCCAAUUUUACCUUUUCAAAAGUAUCUUUUUUAUCAAGAAAAAGCAGCCAUGGAGCCAACUAAGAGCACACCUGCAAGCUCUUAAGAGAUUUAUUAAAAGUUAAAAUGUUAGUCCUUGUAUUUUGAUAAAAUUUAUAAUUUAGUCUCUAUUUUUGUUUUUUAUUUUAAAAAUUUGAGUCCGAUGGUUAGUAUUUUCUGUCAAAUUUUAUUAAGUUGAUAUAUGUUGAUGUUCUCAUAUGAUAUGAUAUAUAAUUCACAUAAUUGUUAAUAAUAGGAUUAAAACUUUUGAACGACCAUGAUGAGUACAAAAUAUGCAAAAAAAAAAAAUUAUGAUAAUCCUAUAAUCUUUUAUAUAUCAAAUGUACUAAAAAUUAAACCCUUAAAACGACGUUAUAGAGACCAACAACCACAAAUCCUAAAUACAGGGGAAAUCUGAAGGGGCAUGCAAGGCCUUGGCCCCCCUCAAAUGAAUAAAUUACUAUUCAAGUCUCAUAUAAAAUGAUUAAAUUAAAAAUAAAGUUAUGAUAAAUUUGCACUUUGCCUCUCAAAAUGAAGAAAUUAUAAAUUAAUACCUUCAAAAAUUAUGUUUUGAUUUCUCAAAAGUUUAUUAUUCGAUUUUGAUCCUCCUUAAAAAAGAUUUAUGGAUUCGUCUCUACCCAAACAUAAACCGCAAAACAAACAUAGUUGAUAAAAAUAAUAAUUAAGAUUGUAAUCGCUAUUAAAACCUUAAUUAUUGCAAUUAGGCUUUUUAAGGUAAAAAGAAAAAGUUGAAUGAAUUUAGAUCUUUUCCCAUACAUUAUUUUCCUUUUAAUUAUAUAUCAAUGGGGGAAAGAGAGGUUAUGAAGAAAAAGGAGUUGCAUUGUUUAGUAAUUACUACAAAGUAAAGGGACCACAUUAAACAAUGUACAAAAAAAUCUUUUUAAUCUUGUAUUUAUUAACACUUUUGUUUAUUUCCCUUAAUUCUAUUAUCACGAGAUCUGUAAAUCUGCCAUAAUAAAUAUUUAAAAAUAUUAUAAAAAAGAAGAGAAAAAGAUGAUAAUGAUUAUGAUGAUGGAUUACAUAAUGCAAGUCCCAUAUGUGAACAAGAUUACAUAUUUAGAUCUUAAAAUUCUGGGAUGGAAAAGGGGAACAAAAUCCCAAGCUUCCUACAGUGUUAUCAAACUUAAAUGGGUUAAUAUAAUUUUAGUCCCUAAACUUGGUAAUUAAGGUCACUUUAGCACUUUUAUUUUUUUAUUCAUUUUGAUAUCUGAAUUGGCAAUGAGGUUCGUUUUGAUUUUUGAAUUUGAGAUACGUAAAGAUUUGAUGACGAGAUACUUUGAGAUUAUGGCACGUCAUUAAAUCUUUAUAAAAUUCAAGUUCAUUGAUUAAAAUGAACCAAACAAAAAGUACAUGUACCAAAACAGAAUUAAUUGACAAUUCUGGGGACUUAAAGCUAUAUUAACCGACUUAAAUGUGGCUUUCUUCCUACAAAGGUUCAAUUAUGCCUUCAGUCCUAUGCUUCUGGACUUUUGAAAUUUGAUCCCUUUGCUUUGAAAAUUAAAGCGUUAUGGAUUUCUAUUAAAUUUGAAUUGUUGUAUUAUAAUAUUUAAAAGUUUUUAUUUAAAAAUUAAAGUUUAAUUAAAUUUAAUAGAAUUCAGCUAACAGUACUCAGUCGGACUAUAAUUUUUAAACUAGAUAAAUAAAAAAAUUAGACAAUGUUAGAUCUAUAUCCUAAUAAAACAACAAAUUAUAGGGACCAAAUAUAUCAUUAUGUAAUAAAACAUAGCUAUGGAACUCUUUAUCAGCUUGUCUAGUGCCAAAAUGAGGACAAUUUAUAGGGGAAUCAAUUAUUGAAAAUUUCUCUUAAAACACUCUUACGUAGAUCCGUUUUAUCAAAAGCAGUUCUUUUCGAUAAAUAAUACAGAAAUUAACCUAUUUUCAUAAAUAUAUUUAGAAAUAGGACUUUUUAAGUAAAUCAAUUAUUUUUAUGCCUAAAAAAAGAUUCAAUUUAAAGUGAUAAACCAUACUAUUUGGACUGCCCCACGAAUAAUUCAUCAUUCCUUUAAUAUCCCCUUAAAUAUUUGCAAUCAUGUAAAGAUGAGUUUGAAUAGGUGCUAAGUUUAGUUACGAUUAAUGUAAAAAUAAUAGUAAUGAUGAAAUUAAAUACUAUAAUAAUAAUAUAACGUGAGACAAAAAAAUAAAUUAAACACACCACCCUUAAUCAUUCAUUUAAACCCAAACUAAGGGCUCUUUUGGUUUGGCUUUUAACAUCAGUGAGGUGCAGUUGGGGUAGCAACCUCACUGAUAUGUUGUUUGGUUCAGCAAUACAGUGCAGUGAAAGUUGAUUUCAACCACACUGCUACGAUGAAAAGGAGUUAGAGGUUUCAGCAACAAUUGAAGGCAGUGGGAUAGUAGGUAUUUUUAACAGACAAAAACACUAUUACUUUUAUUUAUUAUUUUACCAUUUUAUCUUUGAAAGUUAAACUAAUUUAUUUCCCAACCUUAUUUGUAUCACAUUACAAAAACAAAAAUUUAAAUACUUAUACCUAAUAAAACGUCUUUCUCAUUACAAUAAUAGUUAUUUUCCAAAUAACAUAUUGUUUUAUAAUUUUAUUUCUUAAUUAAUAUUUUAAUUUAAUUUUAAUAAUGCAUACUUUAUAUAAUCAUAUUAGUGAAUCUGCUAACACAUACUUCAUCCGGGUAAAGUAUGCAUUUUAAUAACACAUGAAAAAUAAUGUUACUAUUUGUGAAAAUAAUAUUUAUCAUUGUUAUAAAAGAGUAUUUAACUAUAAAAAAUUAAAAAUAAUUAUCAUUUUAUCUAAAAAAUAAUUUAAAUUGAUUAUAUAAUUAAUUAAAAUAUUUAUAAUAAAAUAUUAGAAAAUACAUUUUAAUAUUUUAUUAAACGAAUUUUUUAUUCUCACCUCACCGCUACAGCUGCGUUUGAAUCCAAACACACACUCUACCAUUGUUUCUAAUCUCACCACUACAGUAUUUAAUCUCAAGUAACUAAUAUUACCGCCACUACUAUUUUUUAUUCCACCGGAAGUAAACACACCGCCUAUCUAAACUAAGCCUAAUACAUUUUAUUGAUAUAUAAUUUUAAAAAAGAACGAAAAUGAUUACUCUACAACAUAUAAAUUACCUUAAUGCAAUCCAUUUAUUUAUUAUAAUAUGAACGCUAUCAUAUCAAUCAAUCGUGUGUUUUAUAUUCCACCUUUUAAUAAAUUUCCCACUUCAAAGGAAUCCAAAGUCCAACAGCUGCCACUAUCUUUAACCUUUUUUAAAAAAAAAUAUUUUUUAUAAUUUUCUAGUUUAAUUAUGCAUAUCCUCAAUUGACCCUUCACCACCUUUAUUCUCUUUUAAAGUGUUCAUCGAAAUUGGCCUGCAAAAAUUAAAAAAGAGCUCAUAAUCCUCUUCUAUGGAAAACCUUAUAAUUAUUUUCCUUAUUCUUCUGCCAUUCUCAUCAGCUUAUACACGUCCUAACGAGCACUUCAUCAACUGUGGGUCAGAUUUCAACUUCACCGGAAACGGCAGUCGGAACUUCGUCGGUGACCGCUACGCCGGCGUUUCUUUCUUUAAAGGAAAAACCGGCACUAAACGAGAAACCACCUCCUCCGUAUCCCAACUUUAUUGGACGGUGAGAAUCUAUUCACAGCCAUCGUUUUACGAGUUCAUAAUCAAAACAAGCGGCACUUACUUUGUACGUCUCCAUUUCUUUGUUCCUUCAUCUUCUGAUAAUCUGUACAACGCUAAAUUCACCGUUUUAGCUUCAGGGUUUGAGCUUUUAUCGAAUUUCUCCGUCAAAAAUAGCCCUGCCGGUUCGCCCGUCAUAAAGGAAUUUUUAGUCAAUAUCGAUGAAGGAAGAUUCAAAAUCAAUUUCAUACCUUCUCAAGGUUCAAACAUAGCUUUUGUAAACGCCAUUGAAGUGUUUCUAACACCGGAAAGCUUCGUCCCCGACACCGCUCCCCUUGCCGGACGCCUUCGAGGCUCGUUCGACAGUUUACGGUCUCGGGUUUUACAUACAGUCUAUAGGAUCAAUGUCGGAGGGGAUAAUAUUACAACAGAUGAAGAUACACUGUGGAGGAACUGGAUACCUGAUAAUCAGUUCUUGUCUGAUCCGUCAAGUGCUAUGAAGAACAGUUUGUUUUUCAAAGGUGAACCUGCAUACACAUCUGGUCGUGCCAAUGAAUACACUGCCCCAAACCUUGUUUAUAAGACUGCAAGGAUAUCGAUUGUACAAGAUCAAUUCAAUAGAGGGCAAUCUUUCAAUAUAACAUGGAGUUUCAAAUGUGAGUAAAAGUUCAAGACACUUUGUUAGGUUCCAUUUUUGGGAAAUUGUUAGUCCAUCAAUUGAUUCUGUCAUGUUUGAUCUUUACAUUUACGAUAAAUUUGAGAAGGUGGUUUAUCCGUAUAACGAAACCGGACAGUUUGCGGUUCCGUUUUACUUCGAUUUCGUGGUGGAUUCGGACAAAUCCGGGGUCAUGAACGUACGUGUCGGCUCUCGGAAUGAUUCCGAGAAUCAAAUGGCGUUUUUGAAUGGGAUUGAAAUAAUGGAGUUUGUGCCCCAAGACCAAGAGAGGUCUAAAAAAGGGACUAAUUUAGUUCCUAUAGUUGGCUCUGUUGUUGGGGCUGUUGUAUUUGUUUUUGUUUUUAUAGUGGCAAUGGUUAUGUUCUUGAAAUGCAGGAAAAGAAAGCCUUUGUCUGAAAAAACAUCCAACAUGUCUCCUUUGGAUCUUGCUCUUAGAAUAUCUUAUUACGAAAUCGAGCAAGCAACGAAGAAUUUUGAUUCCGGUUUAUUGAUCGGAGAAGGUGGAUUUGGGAGAGUGUACGAAGGUUUAUUUCGUGGUAAGAAAGUGGCUGUUAAAAGGACCGAACCAGGACAUGGCCAAGGCCUACUGGAAUUCCGGACAGAGAUUAUUGUCUUGUCCCGAAUCCGGCAUCGGCAUCUCGUUUCUUUGAUUGGUUACUGCGACGAAAGAUCGGAAAUGAUAUUGGUUUAUGAGUUUAUGGAGAAGGGUACUCUUAGAGAUCAUCUAUAUAAACGGAGUUCCGAUGUUGAGAAACCGUAUUUUGCUCGGUCCGACUUGUCUUGGAAGCAAAGGCUUGAAAUUUGUAUUGGUGCAGCAAAAGGGCUUAAUUAUUUGCACACCGGUUCGGAUGGUGGAAUCAUUCACCGCGAUGUUAAGUCCACGAACAUCCUACUCGAUGAACGGUUAGUAGCCAAAGUUGCCGAUUUUGGGGUCUCGAAAUUUAACCUUCCGGAUGCCGAACAUAGUGCUAAUGUCAAAGGAACGUUUGGUUAUCUCGACCCCGAAUACUUCUCAUCGCUGCCAUUGACGGAUAAAUCCGACGUGUACUCUUUCGGGGUCGUACUUCUCGAAGUACUUUGCGCGAGGCCAGCGGUUUUGGCAUCGAAUAGGAGGGAAGAAGUGAACUUAGCUGAAUGGGGAAUGCUUUGGUUGAGGAAAGGUCAACUCGAGAAGAUUAUCGAUCCGAUGCUAGUUGAUACAAUCAACCCCAACUCGUUGAGGAAGUUCGUCGAGACAACCGAGAAGUGUUUAAGACCGUCUGGUAACGAAAGACCAGUGAUGCGGGACGUGUUGUGGGAUUUAGAAUACGCAUUGCAGCUUCAGUUAAUUCCGAUGAACAAUGGAACAUUCGAAGACAGUACGACCAAUGUUUCCUUAGAAUUCUCAAUGAUGCCGGUCCUCCAUCGGUUACCUUCAAAUAGCUUCCCGGCCGUUGAGGAAGAAGGUGCGGCCUUACUAUCCGUUGAUGCUUCCGAUGUAACUGCUAGCCAAGUACUCUCAUUAUUGAGUGUUGGUGAGGCUAGACAGUCUCCACUGGUUUAAAUGUUGAUAAACGCUACACUUUGUAUGUACUAUUUUUUGGUAAAAUGUCCUCUCCAGUCCCUCUCAAUUCCAAUAUCAAGCAAAUUAGUCCCUCUCAAAAAAACUUAAGCAAUUUUAUUUUUGUGAAUUUUGAAAAUGAGCAACUAAGCACCAUUAAUCACAUCAUUAACUUUU
rnacentral:lncRNA from 1 species